CCCCCAGGAGUUUUUGGAAACAUAUGGACGCUCCAAGGCUCGCUUGCUGAAUUUGAACUCCAACUCACUCUUCUGAAAUUUGGCACAGUCCGCACCAGAUUCCUGUGGAAGCGGUUAUGGAAAACAUGCGUGCCAGAGAGACUUGGCUAACAUCACCACUACAGCAUCACAAACAUCUGCCUUACCUCCUCCACCCCUGAGGCUGUGAGGAUCCCUACAUCUGAAUCUCUGCAUCUCUGCACUGCUCAUGGAUGAACUGCAGGUGGUGCUAGGGGUCACUGGUCAUCAGUCCGGUCACUUACCGGCUGCGCCUUCCGGCCACUCUCAGGAUUCACCCGGUCUUCCAUGUCUCCCAGCUGAAGCCGGUGGUCUCCUCUCCACCCUCCUCCGGCCCGGGUGCCUCCGCCCCGCUGUGUGGAUGAGGAUCGUGUUUACACUGUCCGCAGGUUUCUGGAUGCCCGCUGCCGGGGAUGUGGAUGGCAGUACCUGGUGGACUGGGAGGGUUACGGUCUGGAGGAGCGUUCUUGGGAACCCGCUUGCUCGUUUCUCGACCCGGCCCUACUGACUGAUUUCUGGGCCCGCCGUCCUGGGACUUCGGGAGCCGUCCCUCGGGGGGGUCCUGUCACAAACUCCGCCUCCUGACCACCCCCCAACGGACCCAACUGGCGGACUACUACACUUCCCAGCGUUCCCAUCACUGGCAUGGCUCGUCGACGUCAUCACGCCGACUCUAUUUACGUAAGUGCCGCCGCUCAUUCAUCACUCAGUCAACGUUCAUACCAGACAUCGACCCGAGUUCUCAGGCUUACCAGCCCUUAAACCAGGAAAGGGAUCUUUCCACACUGUCUACCACCAGUAAGUCAGCUUCCUUAUUUAAUAUGAACUGCUGCUCAGUCUCGGCUCUUUCCGAGCGCUGCGCCGCCAUUCCCAGAUCAAAGCCGUGUGCUCUGUUUAACCCAACGCUAGCCACUCCGCAUCUGGGUCACGCAGUUAUGCUACAAGCAACCUCUGCUACACUUCAGCUCAGCCAAUCGAACCUGACAAAAGGUGGUUUAUUGCUUUGUUGUUUAAAAUAGGUUGUAGGGUUGUUGUUUUUUUUUUACUGUGAGCUGUCAUUUAUUGCAGUUUACUUGUAUUUGUUACACUGUUCAAUGAGGUCUGAGGAGUGAAAUAAACUGCAAUGCAGUUUGAAAGAUAUGUAUGUUUUUUUGUCCCAAAACUGGUGCAGUACUUUUUCAAAGAAAGAGAAGUUCAGCACUAAAAAAUUGGGAACUACUGCUUUUGUCCAAAAAUUAAUUUGCUCAAAAAAUGUUCACAUCCUUAAAGACAACUAAAAAAAAACAUAUUUGCAUUUACCUUUGCCAUCUUGAUCAUUUGCUUGGCAACAUUAUGUCCCCUUGAU